UCAGAACGAACGCUGGCGGCAGGCCUAACACAUGCAAGUCGAGCGCGCCUUCGGKCGAGCGGCGGACGGGUUAGUAACGCGUGGGAAUAUGCCCAGAUCUAAGGAAUAGCCACUGGAAACGGUGAGUAAUACCUUAUACGCCCUUUGGGGGAAAGAUUUAUCGGAUUUGGAUUAGCCCGCGUUAGAUUAGGUAGUUGGUGGGGUAAUGGCCUACCAAGCCUACGAUCUAUAGCUGGUUUUAGAGGAUGAUCAGCAACACUGGGACUGAGACACGGCCCAGACUCCURCGGGAGGCAGCAGUGGGGAAUCUUGGACAAUGGGGGCAACCCUGAUCCAGCCAUGCCGCGUGAGUGAUGAAGGCCCUAGGGUCGUAAAGCUCUUUCGCCUGUGAAGAUAAUGACGGUAGCAGGUAAAGAAACCCCGGCUAACUCCGUGCCAGCAGCCGCGGUAAUACGGAGGGGGUUAGCGUUGUUCGGAAUUACUGGGCGUAAAGCGCACGUAGGCGGAUCGGAAAGUUGGGGGUGAAAUCCCGGGGCUCAACCCCGGAACUGCCUCCAAAACUAUCGGUCUAGAGUUCGAGAGAGGUGAGUGGAAUUCCAAGUGUAGAGGUGAAAUUCGUAGAUAUUUGGAGGAACACCAGUGGCGAAGGCGGCUCUACUGCUCGAWACUG
rnacentral:rRNA from 1 species